UACGUAGGGGGCAAGCGUUGUCCGGAAUCAUUGGGCGUAAAGAGCGUGUAGGCGGCCCGAUAAGUCCGCCGUGAAAGUCCAGGGCUCAACCCUGGAAUGCCGGUGGAAACUGUCGGGCUGGAGUCCGGAAGAGGCGAGUGGAAUUCCUGGUGUAGCGGUGAAAUGCGCAGAUAUCAGGAGGAACACCAAUGGCGAAGGCAGCUCGCUGGGACGGUACUGACGCUGAGACGCGAAAGCGUGGGGGAGCAAACAGG
rnacentral:rRNA from 1 species